rnacentral:rRNA from 1 species
GACGAACGCUGGCGGCGUGCCUAAUACAUGCAAGUAGAACGCUGAAGGAGGAGCUUGCUCUUCUGGAUGAGUUGCGAACGGGUGAGUAACGCGUAGGUAACCUGCCUGGUAGCGGGGGAUAACUAUUGGAAACGAUAGCUAAUACCGCAUAACAGUAGAUGUUGCAUGACAUUUACUUAAAAGGUGCAAUUGCAUCACUACCAGAUGGACCUGCGUUGUAUUAGCUAGUUGGUGGGGUAACGGCUCACCAAGGCGACGAUACAUAGCCGACCUGAGAGGGUGAGCGGCCACACUGGGACUGAGACACGGCCCAGACUCCUACGGGAGGCAGCAGUAGGGAAUCUUCGGCAAUGGACGGAAGUCUGACCGAGCAACGCCGCGUGAGUGAAGAAGGUUGUCGGAUCGUAAAGCUCUGUUGUAAGAGAAGAACGAGUGUGAGAGUGGAAAGUUCACACUGUGACGGUAUCUUACCAGAAAGGGACGGCUAACUACGUG